CUCGUUAUAGUUUAUACAGCAAAACAUCAAGUUGCAAACUUGGGAAUCGGGCAGGUCCGCAACGAGU
rnacentral:tRNA from 1 species